CUAAUAUACCGGUUCUCGUUCGAUCACCGAAGUCAAGCAUCAUCGGGCACGGUCAGUACUUGGGAGGGUGACCACCUAGGAAUACCGCGUGCCGUU
rnacentral:rRNA from 1 species